rnacentral:tRNA from 1 species
CCGGGCGUAGCUCAGAGGUAGAGCGGUUGACUGUAGAGCCAGGCAGACAUCAAUUGGUCCCGUGUUCGAUUCACGGUGCCCGGA